UGGCGAACGGGUGAGUAAUAUAUCGGAACGUGCCCAGUCGUGGGGGAUAACGUAGAGAAAUUUACGCUAAUACCGCAUACGAUCUAAGGAUGAAAGCGGGGGACUCGCAAGGGCCUCGCGCGAUUGGAGCGGCCGAUAUCAGAUUAGCUAGUUGGUGGGGUAAAAGCCCACCAAGGCGACGAUCUGUAGCUGGUCUGAGAGGACGACCAGCCACACUGGAACUGAGACACGGUCCAGACUCCUACGGGAGGCAGCAGUGGGGAAUUUUGGACAAUGGGCGAAAGCCUGAUCCAGCAAUGCCGCGUGCAGGAUGAAGGCCUUCGGGUUGUAAACUGCUUUUGUACGGAACGAAAAGGUCUGCCUUAAUACGGCGGGCCCAUGACGGUACCGUAAGAAUAAGCACCGGCUAACUACGUGCCAGCAGCCGCGGUAAUACGUAGGGUGCAAGCGUUAAUCGGAAUUACUGGGCGUAAAGCGUGCGCAGGCGGCUUUGCAAGACAGAUGUGAAAUCCCCGGGCUCAACCUGGGAACUGCAUUUGUGA
rnacentral:rRNA from 1 species